rnacentral:rRNA from 1 species
AGAGCUUGCUCUUUGGAUUAGUGGCGAACGGGUGAGUAACACGUGAGCAAUCUGCCCUUGACUCUGGGAUAAGCGUUGGAAACGACGUCUAAUACCGGAUACGACCCUCGGAGGCAUCUCCUGGGGGUGGAAAGAAUUUUGGUCAAGGAUGAGCUCGCGGCCUAUCAGCUAGUUGGUGAGGUAAUGGCUCACCAAGGCGACGACGGGUAGCCGGCCUGAGAGGGUGACCGGCCACACUGGGACUGAGACACGGCCCAGACUCCUACGGGAGGCAGCAGUGGGGAAUAUUGCACAAUGGGCGAAAGCCUGAUGCAGCAACGCCGCGUGAGGGACGACGGCCUUCGGGUUGUAAACCUCUUUUAGUAGGGAAGAAGCGAAAGUGACGGUACCUGCAGAAAAAGCACCGGCUAACUACGUGCCAGCAGCCGCGGUAAUACGUAGGGUGCAAGCGUUGUCCGGAAUUAUUGGGCGUAAAGAGCUCGUAGGCGGUUUGUCGCGUCUGCUGUGAAAACUGGAGGCUCAACCUCCAGCCUGCAGUGGGUACGGGCAGACUAGAGUGCGGUAGGGGAGAUUGGAAUUCCUGGUGUAGCGGUGGAAUGCGCAGAUAUCAGGAGGAACACCGAUGGCGAAGGCAGAUCUCUGGGCCGUAACUGACGCUGAGGAGCGAAAGCAUGGGGAGCGAACAGGAUUAGAUACCCUGGUAGUCCAUGCCGUAAACGUUGGGAACUAGAUGUGGGGACCAUUCCACGGUCUCCGUGUCGCAGCUAACGCAUUAAGUUCCCCGCCUGGGGAGUACGGCCGCAAGGCUAAAACUCAAAGGAAUUGACGGGGGCCCGCACAAGCGGCGGAGCAUGCGGAUUAAUUCGAUGCAACGCGAAGAACCUUACCAAGGCUUGACAUAUACGAGAACGGGCCAGAAAUGGUCAACUCUUUGGACACUCGUAAACAGGUGGUGCAUGGUUGUCGUCAGCUCGUGUCGUGAGAUGUUGGGUUAAGUCCCGCAACGAGCGCAACCCUCGUCCUAUGUUGCCAGCACGUAAUGGUGGGAACUCAUGGGAUACUGCCGGGGUCAACUCGGAGGAAGGUGGGGAUGACGUCAAAUCAUCAUGCCCCUUAUGUCUUGGGCUUCACGCAUGCUACAAUGGCCGGUACAAAGGGCUGCAAUACCGCAAGGUGGAGCGAAUCCCAAAAAGCCGGUCUCAGUUCGGAUUGAGGUCUGCAACUCGACCUCAUGAAGUCGGAGUCGCUAGUAAUCGCAGAUCAGCAACGCUGCGGUGAAUACGUUCCCGGGCUG